rnacentral:snoRNA from 14 species
UGUAUCAUUGUAGAAGCUUUGAAAGAUACAGAGUGUCCCCAUUAGGUUUUCCAUAUGCUACUUGAGUAGCACUUAACCUGUUGGGAACACUU